rnacentral:rRNA from 1 species
AUUGAACGCUGGCGGCAUGCUUUACACAUGCAAGUCGAACGGCAGCGCGGGCUUCGGCCUGGCGGCGAGUGGCGAACGGGUGAGUAAUGCAUCGGAACGUGCCCAGUAGUGGGGGAUAGCCCGGCGAAAGCCGGAUUAAUACCGCAUACGACCUGAGGGUGAAAGCGGGGGACCGAAAGGCCUCGCGCUAUUGGAGCGGCCGAUGUCGGAUUAGCUAGUUGGUGGGGUAAAGGCUUACCAAGGCGACGAUCCGUAGCUGGUCUGAGAGGACGACCAGCCACACUGGGACUGAGACACGGCCCAGACUCCUACGGGAGGCAGCAGUGGGGAAUUUUGGACAAUGGGGGGAACCCUGAUCCAGCCAUGCCGCGUGCGGGAAGAAGGCCUUCGGGUUGUAGACCGCUUUUGUUCGGGGAGAAAUCCUCUGGGCUAAUACCCCGGGGGGAUGACGGUACCGGAAGAAUAAGCACCGGCUAACUACGUG